rnacentral:rRNA from 1 species
CUGGCGGCAGGCCUAACACAUGCAAGUCGAACGGUAACAGGAAACAGCUUGCUGUUUCGCUGACGAGUGGCGGACGGGUGAGUAAUGUCUGGGAAACUGCCUGAUGGAGGGGGAUAACUACUGGAAACGGUAGCUAAUACCGCAUAACGUCGCAAGACCAAAGAGGGGGACCUUCGGGCCUCUUGCCAUCAGAUGUGCCCAGAUGGGAUUAGCUAGUAGGUGGGGUAACGGCUCACCUAGGCGACGAUCCCUAGCUGGUCUGAGAGGAUGACCAGCCACACUGGAACUGAGACACGGUCCAGACUCCUACGGGAGGCAGCAGUGGGGAAUAUUGCACAAUGGGCGCAAGCCUGAUGCAGCCAUGCCGCGUGUAUGAAGAAGGCCUUCGGGUUGUAAAGUACUUUCAGCGGGGAGGAAGGGAGUAAAGUUAAUACCUUUGCUCAUUGACGUUACCCGCAGAGGAAGCACCGGCUAACUCCGUGCCAGCAGCCGCGGUAAUACGGAGGGUGCAAGCGUUAAUCGGAAUUACUGGGCGUAAAGCGCACGCAGGCGGUUUGUUAAGUCAGAUGUGAAAUCCCCGGGCUCAACCUGGGAACUGCAUCUGAUACUGGCAAGCUUGAGUCUCGUAGAGGGGGGUAGAAUUCCAGGUGUAGCGGUGAAAUGCGUAGAGAUCUGGAGGAAUACCGGUGGCGAAGGCGGCCCCCUGGACGAAGACUGACGCUCAGGUGCGAAAGCGUGGGGAGCAAACAGGAUUAGAUACCCUGGUAGUCCACGCCGUAAACGAUGUCGACUUGGAGGUUGUGCCCUUGAGGCGUGGCUUCCGGAGCUAACGCGUUAAGUCGACCGCCUGGGGAGUACGGCCGCAAGGUUAAAACUCAAAUGAAUUGACGGGGGCCCGCACAAGCGGUGGAGCAUGUGGUUUAAUUCGAUGCAACGCGAAGCACCUUACCUGGUCUUGACAUCCACGGAAGUUUUCAGAGAUGAGAAUGUGCCUUCGGGAACCGUGAGACAGGUGCUGCAUGGCUGUCGUCAGCUCGUGUUGUGAAAUGUUGGGUUAAGUCCCGCAACGAGCGCAACCCUUAUCCUUUGUUGCCAGCGGUCCGGCCGGGAACUCAAAGGAGACUGCCAGUGAUAAACUGGAGGAAGGUGGGGAUGACGUCAAGUCAUCAUGGCCCUUACGACCAGGGCUACACACGUGCUACAAUGGCGCAUACAAAGAGAAGCGACCUCGCGAGAGCAAGCGGACCUCAUAAAGUGCGUCGUAGUCCGGAUUGGAGUCUGCAACUCGACUCCAUGAAGUCGGAAUCGCUAGUAAUCGUGGACCAGAAUGCCACGGUGAAUACGUUCCCGGGCCUUGUACACACCGCCCGUCACACCAUGGGAGUGGGUUGCAAAAGAAGUAGGUAGCUUAACCUUCGGGAGGGCGCUUACCACUUUGUGAUUCAUGACUGGGGUGAAGUCGUAACAAGGUAACCGUAGGGGAACCUGCGGUUG